UAUUUAAUCUAUAUUUCAGAUAAUAUGUUAGAAGAAGUUUAAAAGAAGCUGAAAUUAUAUUGUGAAGAAACCAAAAAAAAAAUAAUUCAAAAUGAGGAUCACAACUUGCUUAAACAAUUUGAACAAACUUUUGGACUUGAAAUCUUUGAAACUUUUGGAUCAUUAUUCUCAGUUUAAUCCUAGUCCUCUUUCAAUCAAACAGUUUAUGGAGUUUGGACGGAGUGCAACUGAACCUGAAUCCUUUCUCUUCCUUCGGAAAGAGAUCCCCGUCCGACUCUCAAACAUAAUGAAGGAAAUCAACCUUCUCCCGGGAAACCUUCUUCAGAUGCCAUCAGUUCUAAUAUUACAGGACUGGUAUGCGCAGAGCUUCCGUGAUAUUAGUAGUUUUGAAUCCCGGGAACCGAACCUAGAAACCCUAGAGGAGUUUUGUACUAUGCUAAAAACAGUUCAAGCAAGACAUACAAAUGUUGUUCAGACGAUGGCUCAGGGUGUUCUAGAACUCAAGGAAUCCCACCUAGUCGACAAUCAGACAGAUAUGGCUAUUCAGUACUUUCUAGAUAGAUUCUAUAUGUCAAGAAUAUCAAUCCGAAUGCUGAUUCACCAACACACACUACUGUUUGAAGAGAACGCAGAUAAAGAUACAAAAAGAGUCGGGAUUAUAGAUCCAACCUGUAAGGUAAAAUCUGUGAUAAUGGAGGCAUUCACUAACGCAGCUUUUCUGUGCGAGGAAUAUUAUACAAUUGCUCCAGAGAUUGAAAUUAAAGGUCUGACCAAGAUGGUGAAUGAAAAGGGAAAGAAGGUUGCCCUGUCUCUUUGUUAUCCUCCUCCCCACCUUUACCACAUCCUAUUCGAGCUUUUUAAAAACUCGAUGCGAGCCACAGUUGAAACACAUGGAACAAAAUCCGAGCUUCCUACGGUAGAAGUGCUAGUGGCUAAAGGAGAACAUGAUGUCAGUAUACGAGUUAGUGAUCAGGGUGGAGGUAUACCCCGGCAUAUCACUGAUCAUCUAUUCCACUACCUAUUUUCCACUGCUCCUAGACCAAGUAUGACUCCAUCUAAAGCUCCAUUAGCUGGCUACGGAUAUGGACUUCCACUUUCAAGACUAUAUGCAAGAUAUUUUCAUGGUGAUCUGAUCCUGAAUUCAUAUGACGGAUACGGAACAGAUGCUGUCGUGUACCUGAAAGCUUUGACCCAUGAAGCUAACGAGCUGCUACCUGUGUUCAACAAGACUAGCACAAAGCAGUACAAGACAGCUGUUCCAACCGCAGACUGGACCGACCCGUCGUAUUGUGUUUCCAGAGGUAACACUAGAGGGAGUAGAUAGCUCUGCUGGUUCGGAUCUAGGAAUCAGUUAAUCUCAAGCUGUUAGAAUGAGGUUGCUUUCUAGGAAGGUUCCAAAUCCCUGAGUUCUAAACUAAAAGAAAAUCUGUCUGAGGAGUACAAACUGUCAAGGUCUGGAGAUCAGUAAACAAUACGCUG
rnacentral:misc_RNA from 1 species